GGGGCUGGCGGGCCUCGAACCCACGACCUACGGUUUAGGAAACCGUAGGUCGUGGGUUCGAGUCCCGCCAGCCCCG
rnacentral:tRNA from 1 species